rnacentral:rRNA from 1 species
UUGGACCUGAUAUCAGGUA